rnacentral:rRNA from 1 species
AGAAUGAACGUUGGCGGCGUGGAUUAGGCAUGCAAGUCGAGCGGGAGUAGCAAUACUCUAGCGGCGUAAGGGACAGUAACACGUAGAUCACCUACCCUCAGAUUCGGGAUAGCUGCGGGAAACUGCAGGUAAUACCGAAUAAUGUCUCCGGACCAAAGGUGUGAUUCCGUCCGAGGAUGGGUCUGCGUCCUAUUAGCUAGUUGGUAGGGUAAUGGCCUACCAAGGCAAUGAUGGGUAGUGGGUGUGAGAGCACGACCCGCGUCACUGGGACUGAGACACUGCCCAGACACCUACGGGUGGCUGCAGUCGAGGAUCUUCGGCAAUGGGCGCAAGCCUGACCGAGCGACGCCGCGUGCGGGAUGAAGGCCUUCGGGUUGUAAACCGCUGUCAGUGGGAGAAAUGUACGGAGGUUCUCCUUCGUAUUUGAUCUAUCCGCAGAGGAAGUGUGGGCUAAGUUCGUGCCAGCAGCCGCGGU